rnacentral:rRNA from 1 species
UACGGAGGAUGCAAGCGUUAUCCGGAAUGAUUGGGCGUAAAGCGUCCGCAGGUGGCUGUGUAAGUCUGCUGUUAAAUAGUGAGGCUCAACCUCAUAAAGGCAGUGGAAACUACACGGCUAGAGUGCGUUCGGGGCAGAGGGAAUUCCUGGUGUAGCGGUGAAAUGCGUAGAGAUCAGGAAGAACGCCGGUGGCGAAAGCGCUCUGCUAGGCCGCAACUGACACUGAGGGACGAAAGCUAGGGGAGCGAAUGGG